rnacentral:lncRNA from 1 species
UUAAAGAUUUUUAGCUCACCUGGCCGAAAGGCCAAGUGAGCUUUUCUCAUCACUUGGCGUCCGGCGUCGUCGUCCUGCAUUAACUUUUACAAAAAUCUUCUCCUUUGAAACUACUGGGCCAAAUUUAACCAAACUUGGCCACAAUCAUCAUUGGGGUAUCUAGUUUAAAAAAUGUGUCCGGUGACCCGGCCAACCAACCAAGAUGGCCGCCAUGGCUAAAAAUAGAACAUAGGGGUUAAAUGCAGUUUUUGG